rnacentral:rRNA from 1 species
CACGUAGGGCGCGAGCGUUGUCCGGAAUUAUUGGGCGUAAAGAGCUCGUAGGCGGCCUGUUGCGUCCGCUGUGAAAGCCCGGGGCUUAACCCCGGGUCGGCAGUGGAUACGGGCAGACUAGAGUGCGGUAGGGGAGACUGGAAUUCCUGGUGUAGCGGUGAAAUGCGCAGAUAUCAGGAGGAACACCGGUGGCGAAGGCGGGUCUCUGGGCCGAUACUGACGCUGAGGAGCGAAAGCGUGGGGAGCAAACAGG